GGGUAGGUGCCCGAGUGGCUAAAGGGGGCGGACUGUAAAUCCGUUGCGUUUGCUACGAUGGUUCGAAUCCAUCCCUGCCCA
rnacentral:tRNA from 1 species